UAAAUAAUUUCAAUUUUCCAGGGAGACCUUGGACGUACAGGCCCACGUGGAGUAAGAGGUGCACGCGGACGUGCUGGACCACCUGGUCAAGAUGGUAGCAUUGGUGCCCCCGGUGAACCUGGUAACGCUGGCUAUGAUGGAAAAUCUGGUGAACAAGGACCUCCCGGACCACAAGGCUUGCCCGGAAUCCAAGGACUUGCCGGACCUAAAGGAGAUACAGUACGUUCAUUAUAUACACCUUAUUCUCUUUGCUU